GAUGAAGAACGCAGCGAAAUGCGAUAAGUAAUGUGAAUUGCAGAAUUCAGUGAAUCAUCGAAUCUUUGAACGCAUCUUGCGCUCCUUGGUAUUCUGAGGAGCAUGCCUGUUUGAGUGUCAUUAAAUUCUCAACUACACUGACUUUGAAUUGGUGUGGCUUGGAUUUGGGGGGAAAAUUGUUGUGGGCUUUUUGUAUAGUCUGCUCCCCUGAAAUUGAUUAGCGGUACCUUUGUGGAACUGUCUACAGGUGUGAUAAUUAUCUACAUCUUAAACAUCUGCUGGAAUGCUGCUUUCUAAACCUUACUUGUAUUGACAAUCUUGACCUCAAAUCAGGUAGGACUACCCGCUGAACUUAAGCAUAUCAAUAAGCGGAGGA
rnacentral:misc_RNA from 1 species